AACAUCACUUCCUCUUUCUGUUCUGACAUCAUCAAUCCACUUUGUAGUUUGCUGGAAUGAGUUAACAUUUGUGAUAUCGUAAACUACUACAGCUGCAGCAGAAUCACGGAUGUACCUGGGAAUGAGGCUACGGAGACGUUCCUGACCCGCCGUAUCCCACAGCCGAAGCCCGAUUGUUCCAUCCUCCAAGAACACCAGCUUGAAUUUCCUCAGCGGAUUCCCGAAGUCUCCGCCCGCGGACAUGGUGGAACUAGAGGAGCUGUCGCCGCCUCAGCCCAGAGACCUCCCGGACCGAUGCUCCUCCAGCCGGCUGACGAAAAAGGAAAUAGCAAUGUUUUUUGAGUAUGGCAAGUGUUUCCAAGCAUUCAGAAGUGGAGAGUGUAGGAUAUCCACUGCAAAAUGAGGUCUGCUUGUCAUCCUCUUAGUCUCCACUGCUAUCCCUCCCUCAUCUCUCUCUGUUUCAUUGAGACCAAAAGACUAGGAGCCUGGCUUCUAGUUUUCAAAAGAGCUAAGUGACUGACCUAGGCUGAUGACUCGCAAUCCUCGUUUUACAGUUGAACCACCUGAGGAGCUUUUUCAAAAUACACAUGUCUGGUUUCCAGACCCAGAGAUUCUGAUUGGAUGAGAAAACUGAUUUGGAGAGAUACUGAGUGAUUUGCCCAGGUCACAGCUGGCAUAAAGGCAACACAAGUGGUCAGGCUCAGCUACUCUGGUUCCUACAGACUUUCCCCUUUGGGAUAGCGUCUCUCACCAUCUUGACUGCUUACCAACAGAAGCGCCAAAACCAAACUUGAGGAUGUCCACAAGCUUGCUCUACACUUCUACAUUCAUCCUCAUCUUUUUUGUGUGUGUUUGUGGGGUAGGGGAGGUGCAGUGUUUACUCAGUGAUCUUUCUACUUUCUAGAAAGUGUCUGUCCUUCAAAACUAUUUAAGAGCCUCUCAUUAGUCAUUUUUUCUCUUAUAUGCUCUGGUUGAGCUUGAAUAGACCAGUUGUUGCUUAAGAAAGAAACUGAAAAGAUUUUAGCUUUUCAGUCCUAUUUGGCAGAGGACUUCAGCUACCUUCUUAUGGUCUUUGGCUGUGUUGGUGCCCUCAUGUGCUCUGGGCUAAGCCACAUACUAAAUUGACUUUUUGGUUUGUAUACCCUUGCUCUCGCCUUCUGAUGAAAACACCUUACCCUCACCACCACCAUCUUUGCUCUCCUUUCCCAAAACUCUUUCCGCCUUGCUGCACUAAGAUAGUGACACCUCCACCACACGUCAAUUCCACACACAUUUAUUAGGUACCUGUGAAGCAGGAUCUUAUCCUCUUAAACUUCCACUUCUCACACUAGAGAGAAAGAUAAGGAAGAUGAGCAAGUGCCUGGAAUGGGGCAGGCUGAGUGGUCACACAGGCACAGAGGCACACUGAGAACCUACAGGGGAGACUGCAGAGUGCCUUCCCUGAUGCUGCAGCUGGAAGUCAUCCUUCCCUCCACCUGGCCCCUGAGACACUCUACUCUGUAGUGUGCAGUCUGAUGGCACUGCUAGAUUUCUUUUUCAGCUCAGGGCCACAGCUUAAACAGCUUUACCUUUCCCCUCAGCACCUGUCCCACUACCUUGCACACAGGUACUCUAUCCGUGUUUAUUGAACAAAGGAGGGAAACUGAUUUCACUUUCACUUGUUCAUUAUCAUUCCAAUUUUUAUGUGAAAAUGGCACAACCCAUUUGGGGUACACUCAUCUCAAAAGAAAAGCCCAAGACUACCUCUGACUGGUACCACCUUUUUUGUGGGUUCCUUGGUGAGAAACCUUUAUCUUUUUCAUACUUUUCUAUUCUCCAUCACUUCUCCAAAAGUGUCUCUUUCCAGCUCUGAUUUAUUCAAAACACACAAACAUUCCUGUUUAGAGAUUCUAGCCCAUGGAUUAUCCGGCUAGUUAGUACCUCUCCUGUUCACUUGGUUAUACUUUAUUAUUGCUCAGAGGUUGGGGAGGCAGAAUGACUGUGUCCCCUCACCCUGGCAGAAUGACUGUGUCACCACUAGGAGCCAUUAGGGCUUCUUCCCAGGAGGACUGCCUGCUUGCUUUCUGGGGACUAGCCCUUAUUUCCCUUCUGUGGUCCAGUGGGGCAAGUGAUUUGUAUUAGACAAAUAUUUAUAAGAAACAACCCCCUCCCCAAAAUAGAGCCACCAAGUAAAGCACAAGCCUGAAAGAUGAUGAACUAUGAAUUGUCUCUAGUGGAUAUAAAUUUCUGCAAAUAUAUCUCAGUCUUUCUCUCUUUUCUCUGGUGAUUAAAAAGUUGGUUUUUGGUAAGGAAAAGGAUUUUUGACCAUAGAGUUAUGCAUCAUGGAAAUUCAAACCCGAUUUCUUAAUACCUGGUCUUCUCCGAAGAGAAAUAAUGAUAGUAAUAGUGGUGCUGGGAACAAUAUGGAAGAUUAUUGAAUGAAAUGGAUUAACUUGAAUAAAAUGCUGUGAAUUAUCUCUAAAAAAAAAAAAAAA
rnacentral:lncRNA from 1 species